rnacentral:rRNA from 1 species
AGAGUUUGAUCAUGGCUCAGGACGAACGCUGGCGGCGUGCUUAACACAUGCAAGUCAAGGGGGCCCAGCAAUGGGCAACCGGCGAACGGGUGCGUAACACGUGAGCAACCUUCCGAAAUAUGGGGGAUAGCCGGCCUAACGGCCGAGUAAUACCGCAUACGCUCUCGAUGAGGCAUUUCAUUGAGAGGAAACCUCCGGGGUAUUUCGAGGGGCUCGCGGCCUAUCAGCUAGUUGGCGAGGUAACGGCUCACCAAGGCAACGACGGGUAGCUGGUCUGAGAGGAUGGCCAGCCACAUUGGGACUGAGAUACGGCCCAGACUCCUACGGGAGGCAGCAGUGGGGAAUCUUGCGCAAUGGCCUAACGGCUGACGCAGCGACGCCGCGUGUGGGAUGAAGCUCUUCGGAGUGUAAACCACUGUUGCCCGGGACGAAUAGCUCGAUUAAUCGAGCCUGACAGUACCGGGUGAGGAAGCACCGGCUAACUCCGUGCCAGCAGCCGCGGUAAUACGGGGGGUGCGAGCGUUGUCCGGAAUCACUGGGCGUAAAGGGCGCGUAGGUGGUUUGAUAAGGGUGUGGUGAAAGUCCGGGGCUCAACCCCGGAUCUGCCGUGCCGACUGUCAAACUCGAGGACUGUAGAGGCAGACGGAAUUCCGGGUGUAGCGGUGGAAUGCGUAGAGAUCCGGAGGAAGACCGGUGGCGAAGGCGGUCUGCUGGGCAGUUUCUGACACUGAGGCGCGACAGCGUGGGGAGCAAACAGGAUUAGAUACCCUGGUAGUCCACGCCGUAAACGAUGGGUACUAGGUGCCUGGGGGAGCGACCCUCUGGGUGCCGGCGCUAACGCAGGAAGUACCCCGCCUGGGGAGUACGACCGCAAGGUUGAAACUUAAAGGAAUUGACGG